rnacentral:lncRNA from 1 species
UGCCAUUCAUUUAUUCAUCCCUCAAAUAUUUAUUGAGCUUCUACUAAAUACCAAGCAAUGCUAAAGGCACUGAAGAUAUAGCAAUAAGCCAAGCCAAGUUUCUCUCUCAAGUAGUGUCAUUUUAUUGUGGUUACAGUUGACAGGUAAUAAAACAAAGAUAGGUGUGCCUGUGUAUGUGUACGUAUUUAUUUUAUACAGGGUGAUUGAAGGACUCCUACAAUGAUAUCAGAGCAAAAAUCUGAAAUAAGUGAAGGAAAAAUCAUGCAACUCCAGGAAAAAAAUAUUGUCUUUAAAUAUUCCAAGAAUGAAACCACAGAAGUAAAUAUGGUUUGGAGUUACUAAUCUUCAUAACAAGGAAGAAGGAAGUUUGGCAAAUAAAAGUUCAAAGGGAUUUUUGAUGAAGAAACGAUUAAAAUCCCCUUAUUUUUCCCUGCUAAGAAAAAAAAUUCCACACAUAUUACCCUUUUAGACUUCAAUUAUAAAACCUUUUAUUCAAAAAAAGUAAAAUGUAUGUGCAUAUAACCAUUACCUGUCUACCCACCUCUGAGAUUAGAUCUAUUAAUAUUUGAUUAUAAUUGAUUCCAAUCUUUUUUAAUUAAAAAAAUACAUAGACACUAAAGUCCCACUGACCAGUUCUUUUCUCUCUUCACUGCUCAAAUCCUGCGAUGAUAGUAUCAUCUUCAUUAAUGUUCUGAACUUUUACCAUCUAUUCAUGUUUCUCUAUAUAAUAUUUAGUGCUUAACAUCUACAUGAAUAACAUUGUAGCAUUUUGUGUUCUUUUUUUACUCAAAAGUAUGUUUAAAGGCUUACCCUUGUUAAACCAGUUAGAUUGAGUUGUUUCAUUUUAACUCUGUA